AGCGAACGCUGGCGGCAGGCCUAACACAUGCAAGUCGAACGAACUCUUCGGAGUUAGUGGCGGACGGGUGAGUAACACGUGGGAACGUGCCUUUUGGUUCGGAAUAACUCAGGGAAACUUGUGCUAAUACCGAAUGUGCCCUUCGGGGGAAAGAUUUAUCGCCAUUAGAGCGGCCCGCGUCUGAUUAGCUAGUUGGUGAGGUAACGGCUCACCAAGGCGACGACCAGUAGCUGGUCUGAGAGGAUGACCAGCCACACUGGGACUGAGACACGGCCCAGACUCCUACGGGAGGCAGCAGUGGGGAAUCUUGCGCAAUGGGCGAAAGCCUGAUGCAGCCAUGCCGCGUGAAUGAUGAAGGUCUUAGGAUUGUAAAAUUCUUUCACCGGGGACGAUAAUGACGGUACCCGGAGAAGAAGCCCCGGCUAACUUCGUG
rnacentral:rRNA from 1 species